CCGAAUGCCACCAAGGACAUUCGACACGUUGCUUGGUCUCGUUGGACCACGGAUUGAGAGGCAAGUGACGCCGUUUCGGCUGCCAAUUUCUGCGCACGAAAGACUGGCGAUGACCUUGAGAUUCCUUGCUAAUGGAGACACUUUCCGCAGUCUGUCAUUCAACUUUCUGACAGGGCGAUCCACGGCAGGUGGAAUAGUAAGAGAAACAACCGCCGUGCUGUGGAUGUUCUCAAUCCACUGUACAUGAGGUUUCCCCAGACAAUCGGGGAGUGGAAAAGGAUUGCUGCAGAGAUGGAGGAAUUUUGGAAUUUCCCAAAUUGUUUGGGAAGCAUUGAUGGGAAACAUGUUGUCAUCGAAUGUCCGAUGAACAGCGGUUCGAGGAACCUGAACUACAAGAAAACCUUCAGUGUUGUUUUCCUUGCGGUGUGCGAUGCACAUUACAGGUGAAUGUCUUUUUGUUGCUGGCCUUCUCAAAGAGUAAUGACAACAAAUAAGCAACUCAUUUUUAUUC
rnacentral:lncRNA from 1 species